GCAUGUCAGUAUGUCUUGAUUGUUUCGUUAUUUUUUAAAACUUAAAACUAUAACUCUUAUUACACGAAGCCGCCAUUUUUGAGAGAGAACUAUUAGAUAUUACUACAAUAAUCGUAAUCCGUUCAGCGGAUAUGUCGAGCAUAGGUGACAAAAUCGCUUGGAUCGUUUUUAAGCGGUUUAGAUUUAGAAGGGGAGGGUCGAUUUUGAUUGGAUUUCUAGAUCGAUAUUUAAGCAUGGUAAUUAGAAUAUUAGUGUCGUCUGCUGUCGUUUUGAAAAAAGUUUCGAUAAAGAGACACAGUUUAAGAUUACAUUAAGAAAAUGGAGGGAUUUUGAAAAGGUUACACUUGGCUGCACGAUAAUUUUAAACAAAUAAAUUUAAAAAAUGUGGUCGUCGUGUGGUUGUGUCAACUCUGGUCGCCUCUCUUUAUAGAAUCGCUCAAUUACACACUCUGGCCAUGCUGUUCAGCAGAUUUUAGGCCUGAGCCAGCCAUCGUAACAACAAGAUAAUAUGCCAGUAUUGCUUGUGCUGAUAUUGAGGAGUCAAGAGCAACAAUCUCAGCAUCAUCUCUUGGAUAAACAGCAGCCCGUUUGAUUGGAGAAACUACCCAUGUCGGUCGAGUUCAGAUCUCUUCUUCCCUUUUCUUUAAAUUCACUCUGCCC